rnacentral:lncRNA from 1 species
UGUUGGUUUAAGACUGAGAAUUAUUUGUUGUUUCCAGCCUUGGCUGACCAGAACCAAAUUGAAGUCAAGAUUCUGCUACCUGCCUUGUGCUGUUCAGUAGCCACUUCCUCGCUCCAUGGCCUAACGUGUGGUCUUGAGAGAUUUUCCUGUCUACAAAGUAACCUCAACAUAAUCUCAGAAAAAGAAUCCUCUCUGAAGGAAGUGGGACAUGUCCCUAGGGAGACUGUCAAUGCAGAGCCAACGCUUGUUCCCAACUUCUGUGGUUUCUCUUCUGUCAAGUAAAUACGGUCUCAUGAGUCUCCAGAUCAUAGCAACUGCAACCAUUUUUCUGUGGAAAGGGCUCUGCGAAGUUCCUAAGCAUGGUCUUCUUUAAGCCUCGACAUGACCCUGUGAUACAGGUAGUGGAUUCUGUUACAUCCGUUGCAAAGAUGAGAAGCUGAGAAUUAGAGAGAUUACAGAGGUCACAGAGAGCAAGUGGAGGGGAGCAGGACUCUUUCUGCUGCAUCUUUUGGCCCAUCGCAUCCUGCGCUGUCCAGGUGAGAGCACUCCACAGGUGAGGGGCAUUUGAAUGGAGGUGGCAGGGUUACCCUGCAGAGGUCAGAAAAGCUGAAAACCAUCUCAGUCAGAAGUUCCAGGACUUGAUGGAGUCAGGGAGCCAGAACAAAUGCUCAGUCAUCUCUAGGAGGAACGAUGAGCUGGAAUGCCAGUGAGGUCUGAGAGAUGGUCUUCGGGGGAAGUUGCCUAGUCUUUGUAUGGGACCUCCAGCUUUCACACAGCCUCAGGGAAGGAUCUUAUAAAAACUGCAAGCUAAGCACAGGCUUAGAAAGACAUGUGGGCACUGGUAGUUGAGUGAGGAGAAAUUCUCCACUUUGCUUCUCUGGGACUUGUUUUGAAUGAGUAAAUGGAAAUUUGGCA